GCUGGAGAUCCCUUUUCUGUGGAGUUUUUUUCUGUGAGCCUAGGCCUUGGGAGAUGGGAGCAGAAUAUCAAAAUGUCCACAGCACCUUGUUCUUUCAAACGUGUAGCAAUGUCUCUUUUUCUUGUUGUCUUAGAGAUGCCACUGAAAAAUUUAAAUGUACUGUAACUCCAAAAUCAUAAUUAGCAAUAACAUGAAUAUUAAUAAAAAAUACAGCUCUACUCCUUUAUGAAGGAUGGUGUUAAAGAUAGCUGCUAAUUUGUGGGCACUCUUAAAAGAGCUGUAACUCUGGAAUGACCCCAGUUUUAACAUAAGAUGUGGAAAAGCUCAGAUGUGUAAGGUAAACACUGACCUGUUUGGAUUCCUGAUACUUGAAAACAAAUAACUGAUUAAAAUAUAUAUGGUAAAAGGGGAAGCUGGCUCCCAGGCUUAAAAACUCACAUUCCAACUCCAAAUGAAUUUUCAUAAUGAAGUUGUUCUUUGUUAAAUGAUGCCACACCUAGAAUGUCCUCUAAUGGAAACAAUGCUGGAUGUGGAUAAAUUCAGGAGUGGGUGCCAUCGUAACAGAAAGCCAGGUUUUUACUCCAGCUCUUUAUGUGCAGAGCAUAAAUCACUCCUGUUAAGGACCUUGUGUCCUCCUGUCCCAGAGGAAAGUGUAGGAUGCUCUGUGAAAAAUGGCUUGCUUGCUCCUGCUGCAGCAUGGUUAACGCAUCCAGCGAGUGUCCCAGAGAUGUGAGCUCCUGCCUCAAGACAGCCCCUGGCACAGGGCCAGUUCUCCUCGUAAAUGGGUCUCUGUCCAGUGUCAGGAGUUGGUAACAGCCAGACAGCUGAGACACAAUGCUCUCUUGUGUGCCACCAGCUACAGAAGCUACUGUGCUUUAACUGCUCUUUGGGUCUGCUAAACCUCUGUCAACCACAGACAUGCUCUCCAUUAAAGAACAAAAGUCUAUGAAAUCUCUCAAUGGCAUUGGAUUUCCAGAAGCACAAAGAAUACCCACAAGGCAUUUCCAGAGAUCCUGAAGUGUUGUUUUGGCUCCAGAUGGUUCCUUUCGUGGAACCCAAAUCCUGCUGAAAUCAGAGUGCUCUUUAUGUAGAAAAACAGUUGAAAUGACCCUUUAGUCCCUUUCUGUCUGUCUGUCCCAAAGGCAGUCAGUUGAACAGUGAGCUACAAAUUGCCCGCUCAUUUUAAUCCAACUGGCUUAUAUGUUCACCUAGUCAUUUGGAAAUGCAAACCAUACAGAGCAAACCAACAAGCUACAAGACAAAGAGCUACAUUGCUGUUCAGAUUAAGGAAAAAAAAAAAAAAGCAUCUAAAGCCAUUAGCUUCAAUUUUAGUUUUCUGUUUAUACAAAGGACUCAAUAGCCUGACUGUAAAGAAGACAUUAUCCUCAUAGCAGCAGAAACGACUUUGUUUCAGGUGCAUUCCCACUGCUUUGUUUGGAUGCAGAGUUCCAAGCUCAUCAAAGCCUGCCUGGAUGUAUCUGUCUGAUGGAGGAGGACAGGAAAGCAAGCCCAGCAUCCAGGGUGCAGCAAGGAUAAAUGAUUGUGAAUGAUAGAUUGUUUCUGUUUACUACACGUUCCAUCAUAAAGCUUUAUGGAAAGCAUUCCAGGACAGGGAUAGGUGAACAAGAUAUUCCUAACAUGAGCAGUGAUGGUUCAAAAGUUCAGCU
ensembl:lncRNA